GCAUGCACCUGUUGCAAUUGGACCGCAUCAAAUCCCACGGUGGAUAAUACGCCACGCUACCCCUUGCUCUCUUCCUUUCUCUCAAAAGUUCUCUCGAUUUUUUCUUUUAGAUUCUUCUUUUCCUUUUUGAGAUUUAUGGCUUAAUUAUUCUUAUUUUUGUUUGGAUCGGUUCGCCGGGAGUUGGACUCUUGAUCCGCCCGCCCGCCCGUUGCAUGGCCGGUCGGCGGUGAGGGCUCUUUGACCAACUCUCGAUACCUAUGAGAGGCG
rnacentral:lncRNA from 1 species